rnacentral:rRNA from 1 species
CCUACGGGAGGCAGCAGUGGGGGAUAUUGCACAAUGGGGGGAACCCUGAUGCAGCGACGCCGCGUGGGUGAAGGAGCGUUUCGGCGCGUAAAGCCCUAUCGGCAGGGAAGAAGGAGGACGGUACCUGACUAAGAAGCCCCGGCUAACUACGUGCCAGCAGCCGCGGUAAUACGUAGGGGGCAAGCGUUAUCCGGAUUUACUGGGUGUAAAGGGGGCGCAGACGGCAGCGCAAGCCAGGAGUGAAAGCCCGGGGCCCAACCCCGGGACUGCUCUUGGAACUGCGCGGCUGGAGUGCAGGAGGGGCAGGCGGAAUUCCUGGUGUAGCGGUGAAAUGCUUAGAUAUCACGAAGAACUCCGAUUGCGAAGGCAGCUUACUAAACUGCCACUGACAUUGAUGCUCGAAAGUGUGGGUAUCAAACAGGAUUAGAUACCCCUGUAGUC